ACAGAGCCUCUGGCUGGCAUGGCCCGGCGGUGCCGCUGGAAAAGGACCGGCGGGCUCUGCCGGGAAGGGGCCCGGCCCCGCUGGGAAUGGGCCCGGUGGAUUCCCCGGGUUUGCAGGAAGCCUCUGCUAUGUGAUAGCACUCCUGGACAGCUGAAAUUCAUGGCAGAGGAUGUGGCUGUGUAGGUGCUGCCAUGCUUGGACAUGAGCUUAAAAGAGACUGUAAGAAUUACCUGUUCUUACCUGGCAAGGGAAAAGGAGAAAGAAAGACUAUCUUCUAAAACAAUUAUUCUUUUACUGCUGGGCAGAGAAGAAGAAUAAAGAUGUGUUUUGAAUGUAAAGAAGAAGCAGUUUUUCUCCAGAAAAUAAAUUAAGUUUCUUGCAACUCAGUUAAACAUGAAAUGUCCACAGUUACUAUUCUUAUUUUCCUUAAUUUGUACGGUUAUACUACAAUAUGGCAUCCCUCAAUUCCCAGUUUCUGAUAUUUUUUUUUCUAUUACUUCUAGUAUGUGAUUUGACUUUGU